GCAGGAGGCGUGGUCAAGUCCCUGGGGCCUCCAGUGACAGCUGAGCCCGGGGACCUCAUGGCUCUGACCUCCCAGCCUGGAGGGCGGUCCCACCGCCCCCCAUCCCAGCACAUACACAUGAGCCAGUGGCCCACACCUCUGACCGUAGAUGACACCCAACCCAGACCGCCACUCUCAUCUCUCUGCCUCCCUGACAGGCGCCCCCACUGGGAUUCUGCUCACGACCAACGCAAAGCCUCCUUCGAUCUCGAAGAGCUCUGCCAGAGAGCUCUUCCACGCACUGAGCUGGAAACUGCCUUCCGGAAACUUCCACCCAGCACCCGGCUCAGCCUUGGGGCCUGCACAACUGCAGUCCAAGGACUCGCUCUCCCUUUUCCGACCCUCCACAGAGCGAAGACUCCAGCACAGCCGCGCCCGUCGCGGAUCUGCCCCAGCGCGGGUCCGGGAAUGCGUUAUGGUUGUUCCCCUUCUUACAGCUGGAGAGUGAAGUUUUGGGGAAAAAGAAGAUGAAGUUACGGAGAGGCACAGAGUCGGAGCCAGGCCCAUGGUGAUGUCAGGGAAUAGGCCGGAUGCCUACCGGCUCCCAUCCCCGGCAAGCCCACGCGCCAGGGCUCUGCUCCCGUUCCUGCUACAUGACGCUUGGCUCCGGGGAAGACGUCCUGCUGUGACUCCAGGCGCACUUGGCAGGAGUAUCACAGGUUUUCUGGAUGUCUCCAAGGACGGUGGAGCCUGGCCCUACUCUCAGGGGACCCGUGACACCCGGGAUUCCAGAAAGGGACCCUGGUGGGGCGUGUGGGCAGGGCUGGUGUUCUUGCAGCUCCGCUGGCAGGGGUUGCGUGAAUUUGACUGUCGAAUAUGCACAGAGAGCCCACUUGGUGCCAGGUCCUAGGUGCCUGGGGCUCCCCAAGGAGCGUGGAGCCCCGCCUCCGGGAGCAGGCACCCCCGUGGACGCCCGCUGGGCACGAACUCAAUUUGAAAUGCAUGAUGUGAUUUUCAGGGGCAGCUACUUAGCCUCUCCAUGGUGUGUGGCUCAUGUUAACAUUUGAAUUUCCUGGGUGGCCAACUGAGAGCAGGGGCUGGGUCUGGAGGCGGCUCCUGACUCACAGAAG
rnacentral:lncRNA from 1 species